rnacentral:rRNA from 1 species
GCGGCCAUGGCCCAGGUGAGACGCCCGGUCCCAUUCCGAACCCGGAAGCUAAGGCCUGGCACGGCGAUGGUACUGCACCCGACAGGGUGUGGGAGAGUAGCACGCCGCCGCAU